CACGUAGGCACCAAGCGUUGUCCGGAUUUAUUGGGCGUAAAGAGCUCGUAGGCGGUUCAGUAAGUCGGGUGUGAAACUUUGGGCUUAACCCAAAGCGUGCAUCUGAUACUGCUGUGACUUGAGUUCGGUAGGGGAGUGGGGAAUUCCUAGUGUAGCGGUGAAAUGCGCAGAUAUUAGGAGGAACACCGGUGGCGAAGGCGCCACUCUGGGCCGAAACUGACGCUGAGGAGCGAAAGCAUGGGUAGCAAACAGG
rnacentral:rRNA from 1 species